UUGUCUCAGGAAGAACUCUUUCUAUGGCUUCCGGUUGAGGAUAUCAUUGUUAACGAUCCAUCUUCAAGGCUCAUUUUGUUUGAUAUUGGUGUUGCUCAUAAACAGCUCUCCUUUUCUCUCUUUGAAAAACUUCCAGUUUGUAAACCUCAAGACUUGGUAUUGGAGAGGGAUGGGAAGAACAAGAUGAGAUUUCAAGCUCAGAGAUGAAAGAUGAGUCUUUCAUUUGAGAGGGAGAGAAGGGUUGGUGCAGGUGCUGAUGGGAACGGAGAGGCUUAUGGCUUGGAGAGAACGGACGAUUUACGUCUGGGUUGUUCGUCUGGAGAAGGGUUGAUGCAGGUGCAGUGCAGUGCAGCGAGAAUGGAGAGAACGGUAGAAUUACGUGUGGAGAAGGGAGGGAAUCGCCAGUUUUGAGAUGCAGCAAGCCUCUGUUUGGAUGGCUUGCGUGUCAAGAUAUAAUUGGCCGGUGUGAAAUUUGGUUUUAAACCCAUCCGGCCCCAAGCUUUUCCCUUUUUAAUAAGCAUGCUUCGAAUAUCAACAAUCACAUUUCUAUAAUCUGUAGAAAUAUCUCCCCUGCCGUUUAUAUCCUUCACAACUGUAUACAACUGUAUGAGAAUCUUCUUCCAGUAUCACCCUUGACAGCCCCAGCUCAAUGCAAAAAUCCAUAGCUCUCCUCAAGGCCAGUGUCUCUGCUAUAACAGGCUUCAUUUUAUGCUUCAUGUCCGAACACAGAGCAGCCAAAAUCUCUCUUGCAGUGUCUCUGAUUAUCAUAAGCCCCACAAUCUUUGACUGAUUAUCUACGGUAGCGUUGGCCUUAUAGUAUAAACCCGUUGGUUUUUCCAGGUUCUCUCUACUCUUCUUGAUAGCAUACUCUCCUAUUUAUAACUCUGUGCUAGAGUAAAGUCCACUAGACACUGCUUUGCAUUCAGAAUCACCAUUCUCGGGUGCUCAAAUCUGUUUUUUUCAAAAAUUAAGGAGUUUCUUCAUAACCAUAUUCUUCUCAUUGUAUAAGCCACUAACUCAACCUCUUCAGUAUUUAGUUUCUUAUUUAGUUUCAUCCAUGGCUCCAUAAAAACAGUUUCAUUACUAGACCACUUUUGCAAUGGGCUCCCAGUUUCUCCCCAAACAUUUGAGGCUGCAGGAUAGCUCUACAAAGCAUGCACAGAUGACUCAACUUCUAUUUCACAAACUGGGCAUAAGCUAUUAUCAGUAAUAUUCUUCUUGAAAAUGUUCAAUUUCGUUGGGAGUAAAUGUUUUUCAACCCUCCAUAAGAAAUGUUUCACCAUUCCUUCCACUUUUAAGUCCCAUAUCCACUUCCAGCCAUCUUCUGUUUUAGCUAGUUUUGAUGUUUUCCCUUUCAUUAGUUUAUUUCUAGUAUGUUUUAAAUGGUAAGCACUUUUAACAGUAAACAUCUCAUUAUUAGAAUGUAUCCAUAUAAUUUUAUCAUUAAUACACAACCUAUUCAAGGGAAUGCUGUUAAUAA